CAAACUAAGAAGAGGCUGAACUUCCCUGUAGUCAUCCUUGGAUGUAAAGACUAUAUAACAAUAAUCGAGGACUUAGAAGUGGAGAAGAGCAAGAAGAUCCUGGCAAUAGCAUCACCUCACUGGCAUUUUCUUUUAUUUUGCUAGAGUGCAAGGGAGAAGUAUUGAAAUUCGAGAGAACAUUCAAGAAAAAGGGGAUAUUCUAGAGAGUCAGGUUAAGGACACAAGAAUGUAGUGGAGCUUGGCAUGAGCCAAAGAGGCAGAACAAUGGAGCCCAAAGCAAAGCUGAUGUGGUGAAGCAGCAUAUCUAGGUGUGCGAGCAAGCCAGUUGUCAGGUGAGCAGUGGGUGAGUACAUUGUGGGCAAAAGUGAAUAGAUUUUUGGUCAAGAUCUUGGUGGAGUUGUUUGGAAGAAUAGAAAUUUUAUGUUCCUUCACAGCUCUUGGGGUUUCUAAGUUAUGGCUUGGUUUGUCAUUGUAAUGUUUGGUACAUUAGCCACAAACCAAGCCAAAACCCUAGGCUCAACACCCCAAGAGCUCAAGAGCUGAGAAGGAAAAUAAAACUUGUAUUCUUCCAACAACUCGGCCAAGGCCUCAGUUAACAAUAUGAGCCACUCUUGCCCACAAUGUGGGCACACUAUACUCCCUGGAAGAUCCCUUCAAAAUCUAUCUAACCAUGUUUCUAUUUGAUAAAUUCGAAGACAAUGUUAAGGAGCCAAGAUUGAUGGAGAGGGGAAGACGGUCCAGCUUUAUAUAUCAUCCAUGGAACACGGCAUUGAGAGGGCCACCGGGGUCGGCCGUGGAGAAGGGGGAGGAUUGCUCCGACUGCAUUGUGUGUUCCAAGGGCCUGGUACACAAGUUUGAUCAAGGGAUACCUUCCAGCCUCUCCCGCUGCUCCAGAGACUUUAGAAGCAAUGCAAAAGUGGGGACGGGCAGUGGUUCACUAUCUGGAUAUAUGUCUUUGGAGGAGCUGCUGGUGGGACUGUCCAUCUUUGGCUCGCGAGGAUGGGGAUGCCACCGUGCUUGUACCUCUAUGUAGCACGAACAUACACAAGUUUCCUCGACUUUUCCAGGAUCCAUAACUUAAUCCCAGUUCUUAGCUCUAUUCGUCCAAGUUUGCUGCUAGCCAAGAGUGUGUGCUCCCUCGGAAGCCUCGUAUAGCAAAU
rnacentral:lncRNA from 1 species